UACGUAGGGUGCAAGCGUUGUCCGGAAUUAUUGGGCGUAAAGAGCUCGUAGGUGGUUCGGUAAGUCAGGUGUGAAACCUCCAGGCUCAACCUGGAGACGCCACUUGAUACUGCUGUGACUGGAGUCCGGUAGGGGAGCGUGGAAUUCCUGGUGUAGCGGUGAAAUGCGCAGAUAUCAGGAGGAACACCAGCGGCGAAGGCGGCGCUCUGGGCCGGUACUGACACUGAGGAGCGAAAGCGUGGGUAGCAAACAGG
rnacentral:rRNA from 1 species